UGUGAGCUCGAUGAGUAGGGCGGGACACGUGGUAUCCUGUCUGAAUAUGGGGGGACCAUCCUCCAAGGCUAAAUACUCCUGACUGACCGAUAGUGAACCAGUACCGUGAGGGAAAGGCGAAAAGAACCCCGGCGAGGGGAGUGAAAAAGAACCUGAAACCGUGUACGUACAAGCAGUGGGAGCACAGAGCAAUCUGUGUGACUGCGUACCUUUUGUAUAAUGGGUCAGCGACUUAUAUUCUGUAGCAAGGUUAACCGAAUAGGGGAGCCGAAGGGAAACCGAGUCUUAACUGGGCGUUAAGUUGCAGGGUAUAGACCCGAAACCCGGUGAUCUAGCCAUGGGCAGGUUGAAGGUUGGGUAACACUAACUGGAGGACCGAACCGACUAAUGUUGAAAAAUUAGCGGAUGACUUGUGGCUGGGGGUGAAAGGCCAAUCAAACCGGGAGAUAGCUGGUUCUCCCCGAAAGCUAUUUAGGUAGCGCCUCGUGAAUUCAUCUCCGGGGGUAGAGCACUGUUUCGGCAAGGGGGUCAUCCCGACUUACCAACCCGAUGCAAACUGCGAAUACCGGAGAAUGUUAUCACGGGAGACACACGGCGGGUGCUAACGUCCGUCGUGAAGAGGGAAACAACCCAGACCGCCAGCUAAGGUCCCAAAGUCAUGGUUAAGUGGGAAACGAUGUGGGAAGGCCCAGACAGCCAGGAUGUUGGCUUAGAAGCAGCCAUCAUUUAAAGAAAGCGUAAUAGCUCACUGGUCGAGUCGGCCUGCGCGGAAGAUGUAACGGGGCUAAACCAUGCACCGAAGCUGCGGCAGCGACACUGUGUGUUGUUGGGUAGGGGAGCGUUCUGUAAGCCUGUGAAGGUGUGCUGUGAGGCAUGCUGGAGGUAUCAGAAGUGCGAAUGCUGACAUAAGUAACGAUAAAGCGGGUGAAAAGCCCGCUCGCCGGAAGACCAAGGGUUCCUGUCCAACGUUAAUCGGGGCAGGGUGAGUCGACCCCUAAGGCGAGGCCGAAAGGCGUAGUCGAUGGGAAACAGGUUAAUAUUCCUGUACUUGGUGUUACUGCGAAGGGGGGACGGAGAAGGCUAUGUUGGCCGGGCGACGGUUGUCCCGGUUUAAGCGUGUAGGCUGGUUUUCCAGGCAAAUCCGGAAAAUCAAGGCUGAGGCGUGAUGACGAGGCACUACGGUGCUGAAGCAACAAAUGCCCUGCUUCCAGGAAAAGCCUCUAAGCAUCAGGUAACAUCAAAUCGUACCCCAAACCGACACAGGUGGUCAGGUAGAGAAUACCAAGGCGCUUGAGAGAACUCGGGUGAAGGAACUAGGCAAAAUGGUGCCGUAACUUCGGGAGAAGGCACGCUGAUAUGUAGGUGAAGUCCCUCGCGGAUGGAGCUGAAAUCAGUCGAAGAUACCAGCUGGCUGCAACUGUUUAUUAAAAACACAGCACUGUGCAAACACGAAAGUGGACGUAUACGGUGUGACGCCUGCCCGGUGCCGGAAGGUUAAUUGAUGGGGUCAGCGCAAGCGAAGCUCUUGAUCGAAGCCCCGGUAAACGGCGGCCGUAACUAUAACGGUCCUAAGGUAGCGAAAUUCCUUGUCGGGUAAGUUCCGACCUGCACGAAUGGCGUAAUGAUGGCCAGGCUGUCUCCACCCGAGACUCAGUGAAAUUGAACUCGCUGUGAAGAUGCAGUGUACCCGCGGCAAGACGGAAAGACCCCGUGAACCUUUACUAUAGCUUGACACUGAACAUUGAGCCUUGAUGUGUAGGAUAGGUGGGAGGCUUUGAAGUG
rnacentral:rRNA from 1 species